UCGCUUCAGCAGCACAUAUGCUAAUAUCAGAACGAUACAGAGAAGACUAGCAUGGCCCCUGUGCGAGGAUAACAUGCAAAUUCAUGAACUGUUCCGUAUUUUU
rnacentral:snRNA from 1 species